rnacentral:lncRNA from 1 species
GGGAGUUUUAAUGAAAAGGGCUUGGGGCAACUUUUUCUUAAUAAAAAACCAUUAACAACUUUUAUUUAAUGAAAAGGGCUUGACAUUUAAUGAAAAUGACACAAGUAACAUACAAUAGGCCAAAAAAAAACAAAAGUCCCACGGGCUGAAGCAAAGCCCAGCAUGCAACAUCAAAAUUUUCUUCCAGCUUUGUCCCUAACAGAUGUUAACCAAAAUCUGUUAAUAUAACUUCAUAUUAUUUACGAAAUUGCCAUCGAGCCCAAAAGUCAAAUAAAACAAAAACUAAUUCAUUUUCAACUUUUUUUUUUUCCUGAAACGGUUGCAAUCAUUCCACCAAUUGAAAACCCAUAUCAUGACAAUUUUUAUUCCCAAUUUGAUAAUUUAUUUUAACAUUUGCUCCAAAGCUGGCAACCCACUUUUGUUACUCAAGAAUAGCUAGAACAAAAUAAUCAUUCACUAGAUCAUAACUGCCAUAGAUCUGCAAUUAACUUUUUUUAUUUACAGGUCGUGUUUAACAUUCUUUAGGAAUAAAAAUUGUCAUGUUGUUUAUUCCAAAUAUUUAUUCACCUU